CAUCGGUUUUUUAAAAUAACUGUCUUUUUCUUUCCCUGCGGGGACCCAGUGUGCAAGGGCUCCUUGCAGUAGCCUCCUUGGUAGUGUAUGCAGCCUGGUGGCUGUAUGGGUUGCCCUACGGGACCUUGGAGACAACC